AGGUUCCAACUAGGAAUAGCAUUCAAACAAGAUUGCAUAAGGAAGGCAUCAAAAACAUAAAUACAACUAAGUUAUUACAAUCAUUCAACUCACAUUCUACAUUUUUCAUUACAUUUUACAUUCUUUAAGUCUCUUUUUAUCUUCAAAAUACAAUCAAGUUUCCAUCAUAAUUAUUACAACAUUGAUCAUUUCAUUCCUAUACCUCUAAACUAAGCCGACUUAGGGUACUGCUAUCUCUGGUCUCGGUGGUAGGGCACUAACUACGGAGCUACGCCCUUUCCUCGCGCCGCCGCGCCGCUCACGUGUGAACCUGUACCCCCAAAAACAACACGGGGGUGAGAACUAUUGUCCAUAGUUCCCAGUGGAUACGGCCACCCAAGGGAAAAGCUCGACCCACCAGGUCCAAAGGAGGCACUGCAAACAUGUUAGUCCAACAGAUAUCCACAGAUAAUAUUUACGCAAAUAUUAAAUACAUGUUUAUGCCUCAAGACAUACAAUAUGUAAAUCAUGCAACUCAUGCAAGUAGAUUAAUUGAUUCUACUCUCUAUCAUUUACCAUUCUUUAUAUUAUUAGCAAUUCUUUGCCACAUGUCAUUCUUUACUCUUUAUUCUUAACCACACUUCACUCAAUUGUCAUUCUUUCCUAAGGUUAUAUUCACCUUAGCCAGCUAUGCCACUCGACUUGGUCUUGAGUCAAUUCAUGAUGAAUGCAAGAUUUCAUUACCCAAUCUCUUGGUUAACCUGUAGGUUUCGCCCUCAACAAACUCACCAACC
rnacentral:lncRNA from 1 species